CACGUAGGGUGCGAGCGUUGUCCGGAAUUAUUGGGCGUAAAGAGCUCGUAGGCGGUGUGUCGCGUCGAUCGUGAAAACUUGGGGCUUAACCCUGAGCUUGCGGUCGAUACGGGCAUCACUUGAGUUCGGCAGGGGAGACUGGAAUUCCUGGUGUAGCGGUGAAAUGCGCAGAUAUCAGGAGGAACACCGGUGGCGAAGGCGGUUCUCUGGGCAUUACCUGACGCUGAGGAGCGAAAGUGUGGGGAGCGAACAGG
rnacentral:rRNA from 1 species